rnacentral:rRNA from 1 species
GAUGAACGCUGGCGGCGUGCCUAAUACAUGCAAGUCGAGCGAACAGACGAGGAGCUUGCUCCUCUGAUGUUAGCGGCGGACGGGUGAGUAACACGUGGAUAACCUACCUAUAAGACUGGGAUAACUUCGGGAAACCGGAGCUAAUACCGGAUAACAUGUUGAACCGCAUGGUUCAACAGUGAAAGACGGUCUUGCUUUCACUUAUAGAUGGAUCCGCGCCGCAUUAGCUAGUUGGUAAGGUAACGGCUUACCAAGGCAACGAUGCGUAGCCGACCUGAGAGGGUGAUCGGCCACACUGGAACGGAGACACGGUCCAGACUCCUACGGGAGGCAGCAGUAGGGAAUCUUCCGCAAUGGGCGAAAGCCUGACGGAGCAACGCCGCGUGAGUGAAGAAGGUCUUCGGAUCGUAAAACUCUGUUAUUAGGGAAGAACAAAUGUGUAAGUAACUAUGCACGUCUUGACGGUACCUAAUCAGAAAGCCACGGCUAACUACGUG